rnacentral:rRNA from 1 species
GAUGAUCGCUGGCGGCGUGCCUAAUACAUGCAAGUCGAGCGAACGGACGAGAAGCUUGCUUCUCUGAUGUUAGCGGCGGACGGGUGAGUAACACGUGGAUAACCUACCUAUAAGACUGGGAUAACUUCGGGAAACCGGAGCUAAUACCGGAUAAUAUUUUGAACCGCAUGGUUCAAAAGUGAAAGACGGUCUUGCUGUCACUUAUAGAUGGAUCCGCGCUGCAUUAGCUAGUUGGUAAGGUAACGGCUUACCAAGGCAACGAUGCAUAGCCGACCUGAGAGGGUGGUCGGCCACACUGGAACUGAGACACGGUCCAGACUCCUACGGGAGGCAGCAGUAGGGAAUCUUCCGCAAUGGGCGAAAGCCUGACGGAGCAACGCCGCGUGAGUGAUGAAGGUCUUCGGAUCGUAAAACUCUGUUAUUAGGGAAGAACAUAUGUGUAAGUAACUGUGCACAUCUUGACGGUACCUAAUCAGAAAGCCACGGCUAACUACGUG